UACGGGGGGAGCAAGCGUUGUUCGGAUUUACUGGGCGUAAAGGGCGCGUAGGCGGUCAGCACAAGUCAGUUGUGAAAUCUCCGAGCUUAACUCGGAACGGUCAACUGAUACUGUGCGACUAGAGUGCGGAAGGGGCAACUGGAAUUCUCGGUGUAGCGGUGAAAUGCGUAGAUAUCGAGAGGAACACCUGCGGCGAAGGCGGGUUGCUGGGCCGACACUGACGCUGAUGCGCGAAAGCCAGGGGAGCAAACGGG
rnacentral:rRNA from 1 species